rnacentral:rRNA from 1 species
AACGAACGCUGGCGGCGUGCCUAACACAUGCAAGUCGAGCGAGAACAGGACCUUCGGGUCCCUAUUAAAGCGGCGGACGGGUGAGUAACACGUGAGUAACGUACCAUAGAGUGGGGGAUAACUACCCGAAAGGGUGGCUAAUACCGCAUAAGACCACAACGCCUUCGGGCGAAGGGGUCAAAGCCUUCGGGCGCUCUUUGAUCGGCUCGCGGACCAUUAGGUAGUUGGUGAGGUAAUGGCUCACAAAGCCUGAGAUGGUUAGCUGGUCUGAGAGGAUGAUCAGCCACACUGGGACUGAGACACGGCCCAG